rnacentral:sRNA from 1 species
UUUUUUUCUUUUUCUCAACGAUUAUUUGCCUGAAUAUUUCCAAUAAUGUAAAACUAAAAACCGAAAACUCAAAGAAAAUUACUAUGGAGAAAAUGUUGAUCAUACAGAAUACAAAUCAAAGGCCUUUUUGCGAAAUUUAAAGCAAAGCAACAAAAAUAACAGAAAAAUUUCAUACAAAAGUAGCCAAACGAGUCGGGAGGCUCUUCUCGGGAACAACCCUUAAACCCUAAUCCAAUUGACUGGUAAUACAACGAACGGAAUCGAGCGUACAGCAGAAAGUCUCGGCCUUUGAACACCCGAUUGAUCGAUGCGAACUGGGUCCCGUCGGUGAAGUCGAUCUCCGGCGAUACAGGACGAAUAGAUUCUCCGGCGAAGUGAAGAACUUUUUUCCCCCAAAUUGUCGUGCGGAGUUUCUAGGUUUAGGGUCGCAACGAAUUUCACCCUUCUCGCGAGGGAUUGCGACAAAAAACUCUCUGGCCACACAUAUAUAAAUUUAUGGAUUUUUAGAAAACCUAUUGAUAUUCCCCACGAGAAAGAAACCGUGUUCCAAUACCUGACCCGAUUAUUGAUCCGAUUCCCUUAAUUGAAAACCCGACCCGGAACUAUUUAUUUAUAGGUUUAAUAUCUUACUCCCUCUGUUUAAAUAGAUGUAAUUUUAAAUUUUUUUUUUUUAAAGUAUUAGUUUCAUUUGUCUAUGCAAUAAUUAAAUAU